ensembl:lncRNA
CCAUUUCUUGGGCCGCUCCCACGGCAUAUGGAGUUUCCCAGGCUAGGGGUCUAAUCAGAGCUGCAGCUGCCAGCCUGCACCACAGCCCCAGCAACGUGGGAUCCAAGCCGUGUCUGCAACCUACACCACAGCUCACGGCAAUGCCAGAGCCUUAACCCACUAAGCAAGGGCAGGGAUCGAACCCGCAACCUCAUGGUUCCCAGUAGGAUUCGUCUACCACUGCGCCAUGACGGGAACCCCUUGGAUGUUUUAAUAAAUGUAGAUACUGAAGACCUAGGUUAGACCUAAUGGGCAAAGUCUACAUGGGUGGAGCCCACGCAUCUAUGUUUUUAUAGGGCUCUGUGGGCAAUUCUCAUACACAGUCAAGGUUGAGAACAACUAAGAAAAAAAAAAAAGAACAAGAAAAAGAAAGAAGAAAAGCAAAAAAAAGAAAGGCUAUACAAAGCUGCCUAAAAACAGAAAAUGUUAAAGCUGAAUAGGACCUUAAAGAUCAUCUAAUCAGCUCAUUUUCUAAAAUAUGAAUUUGAAGUUGUGAGAUGGUAAGUGAACUGUCCAAGAUCACAGAUACAGUAAUUUCAGGGACAGAACCCAGCUCUACCAGCAGGCAGGUCCUCUUUCCACCACACAAUGCUGCCUACUCCACUUGGGAGGAAGAACAAAUAUUCAUUCUUAAUUAUACCACAAGCUUAAUCAAUAUCAUAAGUAUUCAUACAGCAAAUUCUCAGGGAAAUGUGAUUUAAAAGAAAUAAUUAUUCCUUCCUGAACCUCAAAUAUCUCCUUUGGAAAGAACAAUGAUAAAAGGAUCUAAAAUGGACAGCUGUUUUGAUGUAUAAAUGAGCUGAAUAAUUAUAAAGGGCCUGGAAAAGACACUCAACAAAUGUUACUCCCCUUCAACACCACAGCCUCCUCCCCUUUCCUUUCAGACUCCGCAUUAAGACAUCUGUCCCUAACUGUCAACUAUCUCCCUUUUAAUAGCAUUUCUCAUGCUUGGCAAUCCUUUUGCCCUCUUCUUCAAUGAUGCUCAUAAAUUUAUGCAAGGCCCAGUUUAAGAGGAGCCUUCUAAGAACUCUUCUGAACUAACUUACCAACUAUUCUAAUGACUUGUUUCUUCCUUCAUUAUUUACUUAUACUUUUAAACCAUAUGCUUGCUUAUAUCUUCUUCUGAAGCUCUGUAAAUUUAAUUGCUUCCUAGUUGCUUUGUACGUUUUUCUUUUCUUCCAUCAUUAGAACAUAAGUCACCAAUGGGCUAGAAUAUAAGUUCCCCAAAGGGAAGGGAUACUGGUUUGUUUUGCUCACUGAUACACCGCAGGCACCUAAAACAAUGCUAGGAACAUUGAAGUGUUCAAUAAAUACUUCUGACUGCACAAACAAGCAAGACUUAUUUCUCCUUCCAUUCAGGAAUCUCUCUAACAUAAAGACACAGAUAUGAAAAGUUAAACUUUUUGAAAAAAUGAAGACAGAUAUGCUUGUAUUUUAGAAAUUCACAAAAAAAAUUAAAACUAAUAGAGCUACAAUAGAUAAAUCAACUCACUGGCUAUAGGAAGUCAUUUAGUUUCUUUGUUAUACAUGCUCAGUGAAUCACUGGAUAUGCAGUGGCAGCUGAUACACAGAAGGUAAAGGCUUUAAUUAAGACCUGGAGCUUGAAAUCCUACCUCCCUAUGGUAAAGAAUUGCUAAACUUUGUUCUCUUUUAAAGCUUUGAAUUAAGAAUAAUCUAAUGAAAAAACAUCAAUUCCUGGCUUACUUAGGUUUCUAGUUAUAUAUAAUAACAGAUCAUAAGUUUUCAAAUCAAUUUAAGAGAGUAACUUUAUCUUUUAACAAAGUAUUUGUUUCACCCUAAACAUAAAUACCUGGAAGGAUGAAAAUAGGAUCAUACCUUUCUCAAAAAAAAUUCAAAGUACAAUUUUUAAGCUAAGUACAUUCAGUAACUAUUUUUAAUAGUGGUAAUUUUACAAGUUAGCAGCCUCAAAUAAAUAAACACAUUAAAAGAAAACUCUAUCCCCCCAAAUUAUCUGAUUUUUUUGCUUAUAUAAUUUAAUCAACAUACAAAAAUCCAGCUGGCCCAUACACAGGAUGUACAAAGAACACAUCACCACAAUUAGGCAUUCAGUGACAAAACGGAAUUGUGAAGGAUCAACACUUUUUUCUAUUCAUUUGAAGCCAUAUAUUUCUCUACACAUAUGAAAAGAUAACAAUAAUAAUCAGAAUGCAUUAAAACACAUGGCUGAUUACAUAAUCUCAGAGGUCUUAGCUGCUAUCCUGCUGCUAUUUUCCAGCUAUCAAACUAUAGGAUAAUUGAAUGAUUAGAAAACUCUAGUCUAAGUGAGUGAAUUACCCUGAGGGAGAUUAUAUUGUAUAGUGGAUUGAACAGGCAUUGCAGUCAAAAUGUUUCAUUUCUCUGAGACUCAGUUUAUCUAUAAAAUGGACAUAAUAAUUUCCCCCUUGCAGAGCUGUGAUGAAGAUUUAAAAAGAUAAUGUGUCACUUCUUUGUUUAAAUCCUCCAAUGAUUCAUCAUGAUUUAUCAAAUAAAUUUCAAACUCCUUCAAAAACUACCUUCUUACUUUUAGAGAAAGGAAGCAUGUUUUAUGGUCUCAAUGUUUCUUAAAAUAUCCAAGCAUAAAUGCAGGAAGACAAAAUACAGGGUUAAAGCUGGAACACAGGAAAAGGCAGACAACAGACAAGCGAAGUUCAGUGUCAUAAGAAUCCAGAUAACAGAUUUACUCAAAGACUGAUGUUUUUUUAAUUUCAAUAUACCAGUCCUUAUUCCUCUUACCUGGUAUCACCGUCAGAGGGCUACUCAGUAAUCCCUGCUUAACAGAUAUUUUUGCAGUAAUGGACUAAAACAAUUUUUCAAAUAACCUAGGGCAGUAAAUUCCUAACCAGCUCCUCCCUUAGCAUGUAAGUUUUCUAGUGUUAUAAAUGUGGUGAUUUCAGCUUCUGUUUUAAAUAGCCCAUUAAAUUGUUAGCCUUUUUAGUUUUAUCUCCUGCUUCCAAACUAAUUCUCUAUUAUUGGCCAGAUGUUAAAAUUUAGCACAUUCUAGGUGGAAUCUGGACUCUAGUUAAUUGCAGACUCAAUCUUAACUAAGCAUUUCUACUCUCUCUCAGAAUCUUUUUUUCCAAUUACUGAUACCACUGUUUUCUCCACCAGAGAGUAAGCUCCUUUAACAGUGGGAACCAUAUUAUACCAUCUAUUUCCAUAGCACUUAGCCUAUUAUCUCCAAAAAUCUAAGCUACUUGCACAAACACAAACCAAAUAAUACCUUCGUUUUGUUUUGUCCUCAUUCUCCAUUUCCCAAAAGUCAAAUAAAUAAAACUAAUUUGUGGCCUAACACAAAUUAGCCACCAUUUACUGAAGACUUACUAUAUCACUCUGUAUUUUUUAAUAUACAAAAUAUUAUAUUUCAUCAACUCCAAAAUAUUAGACUUUAAGUCAGACGUUAUUAAUGAGAAUGGUUUCUUCUCUCAAAAUGCCACCACAUACUGCAUUGAGAAUACAAAGAGAUGAAUUAAGUCUUUUUCAUAGAUAAAAUAUAUAUCACAAAUUAAUACCAAAGUAACUUGCUAAUAAACAACUAAAUAUUUAAGAGUCUAUAUUUCCAAAUGACUGUACAUUUCUCCUAAGAAGCAGAUAUAUUCACUGAUAAAUUUUAUAAUCAGAAUAAUUCAGUUAAAGCUAACUCCUUAUAAAUUUACUCAUUUCCACUAUUAAACGUUUAGGGUAUUAAAUUAUAAAAUAUUACAUUAAAUAACACAGAACUUAAUUCCAGAAUGAAAAGUACUAUAUUUUAUCCAUAAGUAUUUGCUAGUAGAAUAGAAAAAGCAACAUGGAAAUGUGACAUAUUCAACCUCAACCUAAGGAUGU